GAUGAACGCUGGCGGCGUGCCUAAUACAUGCAAGUCGAGCGAACAGACGAGGAGCUUGCUCCUCUGACGUUAGCGGCGGACGGGUGAGUAACACGUGGAUAACCUACCUAUAAGACUGGGAUAACUUCGGGAAACCGGAGCUACUACCGGAUAAUAUAUUGAACCGCAUGGUUCAAUAGUGAAAGACGGUUUUGCUGUCACUUAUAGAUGGAUCCGCGCCGCAUUAGCUAGUUGGUAAGGUAACGGCUUACCAAGGCGACGAUGCGUAGCCGACCUGAGAGGGUGAUCGGCCACACUGGAACUGAGACACGGUCCAGACUCCUACGGGAGGCAGCAGUAGGGAAUCUUCCGCAAUGGGCGAAAGCCUGACGGAGCAACGCCGCGUGAGUGAUGAAGGUCUUCGGAUCGUAAAACUCUGUUAUUAGGGAAGAACAAAUGUGAAAGUAACUAUGCACGUCUUGACGGUACCUAAUCAGAAAGCCACGGCUAACUACGUG
rnacentral:rRNA from 1 species